rnacentral:lncRNA from 1 species
AAAAAUAUAAUUGCUUAUAUUGUUGUAAUUGAGCCAAAGUAUACGUUGCUUCACUUAAUUUGCCUGUUUAAGUAUUCCUGUCUCUCUCGGCAAACAGCCCCUAAGUAAAAUGAGAUUAUCAUGAAAGAUAUCUGUUCCAUCUUCAACAAUCAUGGCUUGAAAAUUACCAUCGAAGCCAACAAGAAAAUAGUAGUUUUUUAGACAUCACCCUAAAUCUGUCUACCCAAAAGUACCAGCCGUUCACUAAACCCAAUAAUAUCCCACUUUACGUCCACAACAAAUCAAACCAUCCCCCCAAAAUACUAGACAACAUACCAGCUGUGAUUAACAAACGAAUUUUGACACAAAGCUUCCCAUACAGUUCAUGUUUGGUAUUACUGCGGUUAUAGCCAAUACUGUCAUACACUGUAAGCACCACAUUAUAUAGCAUCACGUAAUUUACUGCAGAUAGUGUCGCUUCAUAUAGUACUGAGUGCGCAUUAGACUUUAAUUAGAAUAUAUUAUUUUU